rnacentral:rRNA from 1 species
UACGGGGGAGCAAGCGUUGUUCGGAUUCAUUGGGCGUAAAGGGUGCGUAGGCGGCGCGGUAAGUCGGGUGUGAAAUCUUGGAGCUUAACUCCGAACUGCAUUCGAUACUGCCGUGCUUGAGGACUGGAGAGGAGACUGGAAUUUACGGUGUAGCGGUGAAAUGCGUAGAUAUCGUAAGGAAGACCAGUGGACGGAAGGCGGUCUCUGGACAGUUCCUGACGCUGAGGCACGAAGGCCAGGGAGCAAACGGG